AUUAAUAUGCUGUUUUCAUAGUCUGUGUUUAUUUCCAUUGAAAACCAUGUAAUUAUAGAUUUUAUGGUCUUUAUAUAUUGUAGGAAGAUAACUUUCUUUAAACCAAUAAAAUUUUACUCAAAAAAAAAGUCAGUGGCUAGAUUAAUACAUCCCUAUGGAAAUGUAAGUUUUAAGAACCAAAUGAGAAAUAUGUGCACAUAGUUAAAACAGAAAGGUUUCAAAAGUACAAUUUGGAAAUGUACUUCUAAAUUGUUUUGUGUGGAUUUAACUUCAGAAAGUCAGUUCUAUCUAUACAUUUAGUGUGGGAUUUAUUCCAGUAAAAGAGUACAGGGACUCUUUCUGUAAUGCGAAUAGUCAGCUCCUAAAUCAACUGGAUUUACAGGGUACAUACCUUUUCUCUGCCUUCCUCUACCAAUCUGAAAAUGAGAUAUUUGAACAUUUUGAUAUAUUAUAGAAAUAGACUGGGUUUUUUUAAUAUUAAAACAAAAUUAGUUCUCCAUCAAGGCAUACUCAGCAAUGCAUGUCAAGCCUUGGUCAGAGCAGUUGCUAACUCUGUCAGGGUUAAAGGAAGUAUGCUGAAAGGAGAUAACUGAAGUUAAACUGCUCAGACCAAGGCUUCCAGAUUUUUUGUGUGGGGACUUGGACUCCUUAUUACUGCAUUCUUCCUGUCUGUGUAAUACCUGGGAACAAUUUAUUCCAUGUAAUCCCACCCCCAUCUUGGUAGUAAACUUUUUUUUUUUUUUUUUUUUUUGCUGAAGAGGAAGACUUUCAGGCAUGCCAAUGUAUUUAAUCAGAAUUUUCUCAGAUGACAUUGGAAGAUUUUCGGGUUUUUAUUUUGCAGCUUGUAGGCAGGUUGGGAUUUAAGAACAGUACAGAUGCUUGUGUGUGUGUGUGUGAGAGAGAGAGAUGUGGUUAUAUUGCAUAUGUGCUUGUGUGUGAGUGGCUCAGAUUAGAAUGUGAACUGUAGUAAAGGCAAAAGUGAAAGUUGCAACAUGGCUCCCAUGCCCCUGACCACUUCCGAAAGAACAUGCCACGUGGGCUGCAGACUUACAGACUUAAACUUGGAUCCACAGGACAAAAGAGUCCUAGUCCUCCAUGAUAAAAGCCUCCAGUAGAAUAAAAUUAUAAAACCUGUUUACUGCUGUUCGUGUGAACUCAAACAUUCAGUUGCCUCAGUUGCAAAAUUUUCAACAAAUAAUUAGGAUGGUUUAAAUAUUUGGGACUAGAACCAGAGCCUCACCAUACCUUCAAAAUAAUCUUGCAGCUUUUUCCUUUACAUGAUCCAGUUCUUUGAAACCAUUUAUAAUCUGCCUUGUGGUCCUGAAAUGUACAAGUUAUAAAAGAAAAAAAAUGUGAGCUUGUCAGAUUAACUACAAUCACCAGUCUAAUAAAACUGAGUCACAUCCAAAUGGGCUGCACUUACGCUACCCUCCCAUUCUAGGGAAAACGUGGCUGGGGGAGGCAGUCUGAGUCAUCACCUGGUUUGUUUGACAUACGCUUCCUUCCAUAAAUUGGGAAUGGCAAGCAGCACAGUGUUCCCGGCUUGCCUCGGAGACGGAGCUCUUGCAGCCUUGCAUGAUCAAAAUAGGGCCUUUUAGGUUUGAAGGUUGAAGCUAUGUCCAUAUUUUGGCUUCAGAUGUCUAGGGGAGAGGGAGAAAUCGGACAGACCCAAACAAAGAACAAAUGUAAGUACCAUUUUGGGUGGGGGAUAAUGAAAUGGUAGGGUGUCCACAGUUGAAUGUUUCCCAGGAUAUAAAAAAUAAUUGAGAACUACAUUGGGGGUGUUAGAUAAAUUAGUAGCUGGCUCACUAAGCGGGGGGCUCAUUUACUUAACGAGAAUGUUCUCAAUGUGAACAGUCCAAAAUGAUUACAUGAGAGAGAGUGGAGAAAGAAAGGGGUGGGGGGAGACUGAUGAUUUGGUUGUUACGGUACAAAUUGGUCCUGACUGUGUUUAAUUUUGUCUGAACUAUGCAACCAUUUUGAGAUAAAUGUAUUUCGUUGAAGAAACUUUUUCACAGCAGACUUUGAAUCUCCUUUAGUGGUAUUUGGAAGGGCUGAAAAGAGCGGGGUCUCUCGUGUCUCACCCAUUUUUCCUCCAGCCGCUGUGUGGAGGCUCACCGGAGCUUUUCAGAAUAAAGAAGUUAAGAAUGCAAAAUUGUUGGGGAGACUGAAGAGGAAGGGGAAAGGAGGAGUAGAUUUAUAGCUGAAGUGGGUUUGUAAACUCAGCCUCGGCUUCGGGAUUAUUUUUUAAUAUGUGCCAGGCACUCCUCUGAUUUCCAUCCUGGCUUGGUGGUGGCUUUUUGUCUGUCUGUGUGAGGCUCGGGUGUUCCCUAUUUUAAAGCCGGAGUUGUCACAGCCUGGGCGUUUUCUGUUUCGGCUUAUGGCUUUUUUUUUCCCCCUCUUUUCCUGAAUGAGUGUCCUUUGUGUAACCCCAGUAAUUCAGAAAUCCUGCAGUCAUAGGGACUGCCCUGUCAUGUGACUUAGGUACUAGGUGCUGCCUGCGAUUGGUCAGCAGCUAAUUGGCGGGUCCCUAUAAGAAGUCCCGCUUUGGGCGACCAGUCACUCUCCUGCCUGGGCUGCUGUUCAACAGGGGCCGGGGUGGGAAGGGAGGAGAGGGGGUGGCAAUGGGUGUCCAGUGAUUCAGCCACAUAUGAUAGAUGACCAAGGGACCACUUCCUUGGGGUCUGUACAUCAUUGGAAGACACCCAAAUUGGUUGUGGCUGCCUUGAUCAAACUCUGGCUCCCUGAACUGGAAUGAAAUGCAGAUAACUCUUUAGAAAACUUUCAUAGGAAAAAAGCGCCUCGUGUGAUCUGGAACAAAGACAUUUUCUAAUCAGAUUUAUCAAGCUGUGAAGAGGGAGUUUUAGCGAACGGAAGCAGCAGCAUUCUGUCACCAGGAAAUACUGCUUUAUCCAGAAUUGGUGUGACUAUAGCAAGAAAGGUAACGCAUGACAUGCGAAGUCUACAUCAACAGCAGAGCCCCACCCUGAAGGCUGCAUAUCAUCUAGCUGCUGGAAUGUGCAGCAUAAGCCAUUGGGCUUAAUCAUUGGACAGAGUGCAGUGAAAGGACCCCAUGAAAGCUGAUCGUUUUAGCAAAACAUGAUUUUGUUAUGAUUUCACCAAGAUGGGCACACAUCAGCCUGGGAAGCUCAGUGAACCAGAGACCAGGUGUAAUGCUACCCUUCCUUCUCUCUGCCUCAGCUCUCAAGGAUUGGUCACCUACAUGUUAUUAGCAGUAGUAUUUGAUUUCUAUUCCCAUUUACUAUCAGAAGGCAUAGCCUUUAUGGGCUUCAUCACUCUGCCCUGCUACCUCACCAUUCCUCCUCGUUUUGGCUUCUUGACCACCUGCGGGAGCCCAGUUUCUUUCUGUUCUUUUUCCACAGCCCCAUAAUUUUUUUUGAAUGACUUUCAGUCUCACCAGAAUCUGUAUCUCUCUGCCCCAACAUCCCACCCCAUCAUUUGCUCUCUGACGUGAACUCUAAAAUGGAUUUUUUGUUUUUGUUUUUUUGCCACUAUUCACCAUCUCUUAUGAAACCAGAAGAAGAACAGCUUUCUUAUGGAAUGAAAAAGAACUUGUAAAGAUAAACCACCAGUUUUCAGGAGAAAAAGAAGAAAAGAAUGUUGGAAAUAGCUUCUGGAAAACUUUUUCCCAUUAUGUUUUGUUUGUCUGUUCCUGGUAAAUAAAUUUAAAUCUCUCAGUGUUAAAAAAUAGAUAAACCAUUAAAUUCUCAGUAAUAAAGGAAUAUAAAUUUUAACCCUUGGUUAGAUGAACUGGAUACUUUUAGUAAGAAAAUAUGAAUUUUAAAUGAAUACAAGUUAACAGAUUUAAAGCAGAAAGUGAAUAUAAGGAACACAAAGAUAAAUGUCUGUAUGUAAUAGUCAAUUGUAAUGAUAUAAUGUAUUUUUUUCACCCUGUGCUGAAUCAGUAAAAAUAAAGUCAAUGACUUGGAGCUUUUAAAAUAUAGUGUAUGUGUGUGUAUCUUUUGACUUCCAAUCCAUUGUCUAUUUUGUACCUAAGUCACUGGCCUUUGUACCCUGCUAAGAGAAAGUCAUUCUACUUGAGCUACUUGACAGCCUUUGAAGAGUGAGAAAAGUCUCUGGGACACAUGAUUAUGUUUAUUAAAUUAUAAUUGUCAAGGAGACAGUUUUCUUUCUCCUCUCUUCACUCUUAUACUUAUGAUGUUCUGAGUCCCUUUAACUAUCCUUAAACAAGACAAUGUUGACAGUGGAGCCUAUUGUGAAGAAGAACUCCCUAGUUACAUGGUUAAGUUUUCAUUUCCUUCUCAAGUUUGAUGGACCAGUAUCAAAUUGAUCCCCAAAGCAAGAAUAAAAGUGCAAAUAACCAAGAA